AUUUAUUUUAUUUUAUUUUUCCUACAUUUCCUUUCUUCUGUAAAUUACUUUUAUAUCCGAGGAAUAUAUACAGUAGAGUCUCACUUAUCCAAGCCUCGCUUAUCCAAGCCUCUGGAUAAUCCAAGCCAUUUUUGUAGUCAAUGUUUUCAAUACAUCGUAAUAUUUUGGUGCUAAUUUCGUAAAUACAGUAAUUAUUACAUAGCGUAUUGAACUACUUUUUCUGCCAAAUUUGUUGUUAAACAUGAUAUUUUGGUGCUUAAUUUGUAAAAUCAUAAUCUAAUGUGAUGUUUAAUAGGCAUUUCCUUAAUCCCUCCUUAUUAUCCAAGAUAUUUGCUUAUCCAAGCUUCUGCCGGCCCGUUUAGCUUGGAUAAGUGAGACUCUACUGUACAUAUAUAAUUAUGUAUACGUAUAUAUUUUCUACAUCUAUAUGAUGUUUAUUCAUCCAUGUUUAUCUAUCUGUUUUUAUGUGCAUUUAAAACCAUAAAUAAAAAUCUUUAAAAAAAGAAUCAGAGUCAGAAGAGACCACAUGGGUCAUCUAGUCCAACCCCGUGCAUAGCAUUGAUAGUAAGAUUUCGGUAUCGUGAGUCUUGGCGAUUUGGGGUGUAUCUACACUGAAGAAUUAAUGCAGUUUGAUCCUGGAUGGGACAUUUCCUGUCUCUUCUGAACUUUUUCUAGAAGGUGCCAAAAUCCAACUGUUGCUCGUUACUCUAAUUGAUUGCCUUCACCUGUAUUUUUUGGGGCUUUGUUUGGCUUUCUAUACACAUUUCUGGUCACCUUUGAGCUUGAAGUUGGUGCUUCUUCUCUAAUAGAACAGCAAGAAUCAAGACAAAGGGGCUCCAUCUGUGACCGGUGGCCUCAGGAUGUCCGAAUGUUAUUGUGAGUUCGCAACAGGUUCCACGACACGCUUUGACACACGGAGGAGGAUGGAGAGCCAGGCAGCGAAGCACCGCAUCAGCCGGGAGCUGCCUUGUUCCAGCUUGGCAUAAGCAAGGCCCAAUUAAGAGGAAACUGUCUUCGACUUCCCCUGUGUUUUUCUCCCCGCCGUUGUUAUGACCUUUCUAUGGGUUUCUGGUUUCUUCUUCCUUUGCGGAGGCGAAUGUAGAUUUUUCAACGGAAGGCCUACCAACCCAGUAGCUGC
rnacentral:lncRNA from 1 species